UAACGCAUUAAGCACUCCNCCUGGGGAGUACGACCGCAAGGUUGAAACUCAAAGGAAUUGACGGGGGCCCGCACAAGCGGUGGAGCAUGUGGUUUAAUUUGAAGCAACGCGAAGAACCUUACCAGGUCUUGACAUCCCUNUGACCGCUCUAGAGAUAGAGUUUUCCUUCGGGACAGAGGUGACAGGUGGUGCAUGAUUGUNGUCAGCUCGUGUCGUGAGAUGUUGGGUUAAGUCCCGCAACGAGCGCAACCCCUAUUGUUAGUUGCCAUCAUUUAGUUGGGCACUCUAGCGAGACUGCCGGUAAUAAACCGGAGGAAGGUGGGGAUGACGUCAAAUCAUCAUGCCCCUUAUGACCUGGGCUACACACGUGCUACAAUGGNUGGUACAACGAGUCGCAAGCCGGUGACGGCAAGNUAAUCUCUUAAA
rnacentral:rRNA from 1 species